UACGAAGGGGGCUAGCGUUGCUCGGAAUUACUGGGCGUAAAGCGCACGUAGGCGGAUUGUUAAGUCGGGGGUGAAAUCCUGGAGCUCAACUCCAGAACUGCCUUCGAUACUGGCGAUCUCGAGUUCGGGAGAGGUGAGUGGAACUGCGAGUGUAGAGGUGAAAUUCGUAGAUAUUCGCAAGAACACCAGUGGCGAAGGCGGCUCACUGGCCCGGAACUGACGCUGAGGUGCGAAAGCGUGGGGAGCAAACAGG
rnacentral:rRNA from 1 species